UGACGCUCUUGAUACCAAUAUAGUAAAAUGUGGGUGCUUGAGGAUUUACUUGUAAUGGGGUGAAUUUCAUGAUUCUCUUCUUCGAAACCGCGUUGUUUUGGAUGCCGCCAAUCAUGAGAUAGCUGGUGGGAGCCGGAGAGAGAGUGUAGUCCAUGAGACAAUAGGAGAACUUGUUGCCAAAACGGCGACCCAGCUGAGAAGAAAACGAAAUGGGUGCUCUACCCAAACCCAUUACCCCAUGAGCGCCCUUGAAGCUCGCACCCGUAAGACUAGGACCCGAGAUCCGGAACCCGCACCCGAAUGCUAGACUUUUCAGCCUUUUC
rnacentral:misc_RNA from 1 species